GAUGAACGCUGGCGGCGUGCCUAAUACAUGCAAGUCGAGCGAACGGACGAGAAGCUUGCUUCUCUGAUGUUAGCGGCGGACGGGUGAGUAACACGUGGAUAACCUACCUAUAAGACUGGGAUAACUUCGGGAAACCGGAGCUAAUACCGGAUAAUAUUUUGAACCGCAUGGUUCAAAAGUGAAAGACGGUCUUGCUGUCACUUAUAGAUGGAUCCGCGCUGCAUUAGCUAGUUGGUAAGGUAACGGCUUACCAAGGCAACGAUGCAUAGCCGACCUGAGAGGGUGAUCGGCCACACUGGAACUGAGACACGGUCCAGACACCUACGGGAGGCAGCAGUAGGGAAUCUUCCGCAAUGGGCGAAAGCCUGACGGAGCAACGCCGCGUGAGUGAUGAAGGUCUUCGGAUCGUAAAACUCUGUUAUUAGGGAAGAACAUAUGUGUAAGUAACUGUGCACAUCUUGACGGUACAUAAUCAGAAAGCCACGGCUAACUACGU
rnacentral:rRNA from 1 species